rnacentral:lncRNA from 1 species
UAUUGGUCGACAUGUAUCGUUAAUAUUACAAGUUGUUAUUGUUUAGCUCAAAUUCAGGAGUAGGUAUGUUUUAGACAUAUUAACUGAAUUGGGAGCAUGUUAUUAGCUGUUAUUAAUCAUACAUGUUGGACUUGGAUAAAACAUAGGAGAAAACCAGUGUUCGGAAUCUGUCAUAUGUUAACCUACCUGAUUUAGCCUUAGGGGUCGUUGUACUUUUAUACAGUUGCAAUGUUCUCGUAGUAAGUACCCCAGGUAGUCUAAUUUACUGUUACACUCGUGCUGGGAUGCCGAAUCUAUUUUUACAGUAGUGUUUAGACUGUUCCGGACUAGUGGGUGCCGUCGCGGUUGACGGUAGACCCGGAUUUCGGCAUUUUGAGAUCCGAUUGUGCCGAUGGCACGUGACUAGUGGUUAGUAGCCAAUUGGACUUAUUUUCUUGACUUUAGCCUGUGAGAGCCUGAUUGAGCUCGACAGAGAUACGCUUGCAUACUCGGUUGGGUCGCGCCCACGAGUUGCCGCUCCGGAGUUUGGCUUUGUGCUUUCGCGUUGAUGUCACUGACUAGUUUUGCUAUCCACGGACUAUUUUGCGUGGAGGUAGCGUGGCUUAGACAGGCGGGACGGGUGAGUUCACAGUCCCCGGGACGGGUGUGUUCACAGUCCCUAUUAAGAUUGGGUCAGAUUUGACAGUUACUACAGUUUGAUAGUAUAGUGGCAGGUAGCUGUAGAUUUCUUUCCAGCUUUAACUACUAGUUUGUUUCUGACUGUAGUCUUAGUGGGUGGGCCGAUGAUGUUGAGGGCGGUACCCACUGAGGACUACUUAUUUUUACAGUAGUUCUCACGCCCAGUUGUUACCACUGUUUUGCAGAGCCACAGGUUCCGGCUGCUGCGCCUUCUGCGGAU